rnacentral:rRNA from 1 species
UACGAAGGGGGCUAGCGUUGCUCGGAAUUACUGGGCGUAAAGGGCGCGUAGGCGGCACUGUUAGUCAGGCGUGAAAGUCCUGGGCUCAACCUGGGAACUGCGCUUGAUACGGCAGAGCUAGAGGAAGGAAGAGGCUCGCGGAAUUCCCAGUGUAGAGGUGAAAUUCGUAGAUAUUGGGAAGAACACCGGUGGCGAAGGCGGCGAGCUGGUCCAUUACUGACGCUGAGGCGCGACAGCGUGGGGAGCAAACAGG